rnacentral:rRNA from 1 species
CCUACGGGAGGCAGCAGUGGGGGAUAUUGCACAAUGGGGGAAACCCUGAUGCAGCGACGCCGCGUGGGCGAAGAAGUAUUUCGGUAUGUAAAGCCCUAUCAGCAGGGAAGAAGAAAUGACGUUACCUGCGUAAGAAGCACCGGCUAAAUAGGUGCCAGCAGCCGCGGUAAUACGGAGGGUGCAAGCGUUAUCCGGAUUUACUGGGUGUAAUGGGAGCGCAGGCGGCAGGGCAAGCCUGAUGUGAAAGCCCGCGGCCCAACCGCGGGACUGCAUUGGGAACUACCGGGCUGGAGUGCCGGAGAGGUAAGCGGAAUUCCUAGUGUAGCGGUGAAAUGCGUAGAUAUUAGGAGGAACACCAGUGGCGAAGGCGGCCUACUGGACGGUGACUGACGCUGAGGCUCGAAAGCGUGGGGAGCAAACAGGAUUAGAUACCCGAGUAGUC